rnacentral:rRNA from 1 species
GAUGAACGCUAGCUACAGGCUUAACACAUGCAAGUCGAGGGGAAACGACAUCGAAAGCUUGCUUUUGGUGGGUGUCGACCGGCGCACGGGUGAGUAACGCGUAUCCAACCUGCCCACCACUUGGGGAUAACCUUGCGAAAGUAAGACUAAUACCCAAUGAUAUCCCACGAAGGCAUCGGAAUGGGAUUAAAGAUUUAUCGGUGAUGGAUGGGGAUGCGUCUGAUUAGCUUGUUGGCGGGGUAACGGCCCACCAAGGCGACGAUCAGUAGGGGUUCUGAGAGGAAGGUCCCCCACAUUGGAACUGAGACACGGUCCAAACUCCUACGGGAGGCAGCAGUGAGGAAUAUUGGUCAAUGGGCGAGAGCCUGAACCAGCCAAGUAGCGUGCAGGAUGACGGCCCUAUGGGUUGUAAACUGCUUUUAUAAGGGAAUAAAGUGAGUCUCGUGAGACUUUUUGCAUGUACCUUAUGAAUAAGGACCGGCUAAUUCCGUG